rnacentral:rRNA from 1 species
UACGGAGGGUGCAAGCGUUGUCCGGAAUCACUGGGCGUAAAGGGCGCGUAGGCGGCCCGGUAAGUAGGGGGUGAAAUCCUGCGGCUUAACCGCAGGGCUGCCUUCUAAACUGUCGGGCUCGAGCACGGUAGAGGCAGAUGGAAUUCCCGGUGUAGCGGUGGAAUGCGUAGAGAUCGGGAAGAACAUCAGUGGCGAAGGCGGCUCUCUGGGACGGUACUGACGCUGAGACGCGAAAGCGUGGGGAGCGAACAGG